ensembl:lincRNA
CUACACUGGGUAACACUGAUAAUUUUGGCAGAGAUUCAGGCUGUUUCUUUGUAGAGAAUGUCAGAUCCAAAAUAAACUCAGCCCAAGUGUUUAGCUGAGUGGUGGUCUGGAGUGUUCCUGCUCCAGUUGCUUCUAAUUUGUACUUUAGAAAGGAAUUAAUUCCUGUAGGCAGGGGAUCUCAAAGGCAGCAACUGAAUGCCAUAGCCCAUACUCUAAGAUCCAUAAGAAUUGCGCACUCCUGCACAGAGAUCUUAUUUUGAUUGUUGGCAUGAGAAGAAAGUGUGUGUCCAGGCUGGGCAAAUAUGGGAUUAUUAUAGGAAUAUCCAUAGCCUUUGAAGCUUUUGUAAAGUUCUGUCAGGGAGAAGGAUAAACUAAUUGUAAACAACAGAUUAAAGGGCUAGUCAUUAUGUCAUAAUGUUUGCUGUUGUCGAUUAGGCUCCUAUCUGGUGUUGAAUUUAUUAUUUUUAAAAGAGGCAGACUAUUCUUCCUCAUUAACAACAAACUGAAGAGUCAAUCUGAAUGAAACAAAGGACCCAUGCAGCUAAGUGGCCUGGAAAGAUACGCCCCAGCACCACUCCUGAGAUACUGACACCUCCAGCACCAGCACCAGUACCAGCUGCAGCCCCCGUUGCCAUGGUGCUCCUGCCAACGUUCACUCCCUGCGCUGCCGGGGUCCAGCUCACAUCUUUCCUCUUUGAAAACAGAAAGGCCACAACACCCUGUUCUGCGGCCCAUUUAUUCCAGCCUGCUUGGAAGCCCUGACUUCCUACAUGGGAGUCCUCCAGACUUCUGACAGCAUUUCAUCCCAACCCAAUCAUAUCAUCCACUGGCAAAUCCUAUGCCCUAAGCACCUGGGUGCUUAAUUCCUUUCAGUCCAAUUAUGAACAAUGAUUCUUUGAAAUCUCUUCCCUGUUAAGGAGUCAUGGUGACAGUUGUUUGUAUUCCUUCACACAGGUUACCAUUCACUCUCUGCCAUAUAUAUACUAUAUCUAUAGCCAAAGACACUAUCUACUAGGCUCAAACCCUUGGUCUGCAGAAGACUUUCUAUUCAAAAUACAGUUGUGAGAAAAAAUGUGUGAACCCUUAGGAAUUAUACCUUGAUUAUACCUUAGAAAUGACCUUGAUGUUUAUACCAUUUGCUCAAUAAAGAUAUUACAAUGUAAAAGGUUGUGUGUGUUGUUUGUUAAAUAAGACUGUCUUUAUUUGUUAUUAUGACUUAGAUGAAGAUCAGAUCAUAUUCUAGGAGCCAUUCAUGCAGAAAUCCAGAUAAUUUCAAAGGGUUCACAAACUUUUUCUCACAACUUUAUGUCCUUGUGCACAAAAAAAAUAGUUUAUAUCCAGUCCUAGACCUGAGAAACUUCAACAUGCUUGCAUGAUGCAUUUUAAACUGUUUAUGCACAAGCAUGUACAUUCCAUGUCCAUCUGGUUCCAGUCAUACACAGCUCAAUAUAGGUUAAUUGUAAAUACAGUUAGUUUAUCUGUGUUUUGUCAAAAGAUAAGCAUCUUAACAGGCAAACUGAAAUUAUUUUAAGGAAAUUUUUUUUUUUGCUGGAUGUAUAAAAUUUCACAAGGAAUAUAAAGCAACUUGGGGCAGAAUUCUAUGCAGGUGUUUCACUGCAGUGGUUUUGCAAAACGUAUAAAUGACAAAAUUAAACAUAAAGUGACCCCUCAGACCUUUAUAAUGCCCCUUUAGGGAGCUGUUCUUUCUUUUGCUUUCUUGUUGACUGACAAUAUCUUUGCAAUGAGUAGGAGAGUUAAAUAUACUGUGGUAAACAAGAAUACCACUUCCCAGUGGGACAAGAAUAUCAGGCAGCCAGCCAACCAAAGCAUACACUACUAUUUAAUUAUGGAGCUGAAACAUUUAUUUUAAAUCCCAUUUGACUCUCAGUGGGAAAGUUAUGGCUUAUAGCUGUUUUUGAAAAAUACCAGUUAUAGGUCUUUAGAAGCAAUUAAUAUGUUACUUGUAAUAUUAAAAGCAUUUACAAAAUUUGUUAGGGUUAGUGGUAUGGUUCAGGCUGUACUCAAGUUGAGGC